UGCGUAUGGAAGAAUGGCUCUCUUGCUUUAGGGGCGAGCUCCCAUAGAUUUGAAAACAGAUCAACUCAGGUAUGUUUUGGGAAAACACUGCCAAAAACGAUGAAAUCGUGAUCAACUACAAAUGAAGAACGGUUGUUCAAGGGAGGUAUUUUCGUGGAAGCGUUCAGAAGUGAUCUUUCUUUGCAUCUCCUGUCUCUUCCGGUCAGCCCGAAUCAGUCAACAGUUGUUUUGGGACAAGAGAAAAGUUCAGUCGACCGUUUCUCUUAUACAUUGCCAAUGGGCGCGUAGCAUUUGGAGAGUAACAAGCAAAAAAGUUUGAUAUCGCUUUCCUAGCCAAAGAUCGUAGGAAUGGAACGUUCCAAAAGAAAGUCUUUCCCCCUUGGUGGUGAAUCCUCAUCGUCUUUGAGGAGGGACUACGAGGUGUUCUUGAGUUUCAGAGGGCCUGACACUCGCUUAACCAUCACCGACUCUCUGUACGCGGCCAUGAUUCGAGCCGAGAUACGCGUCUUUAAAGAUGAUGAAGAGCUUCGUGUUGGGGAAGAGAUCGGAGGUGAGCUCUUGAGGGCAAUCUCCAAUUCGAAAAUCUACAUACCGAUCUUCUCUAAAGGCUAUGCUUCCAGUAAAUGGUGCCUCCGUGAGCUCGCGUACAUGCUGGAGUGUAAGAAGAGAGGCGAGAAAGUAAUCUUGCCCAUCUUCUACGAGGUGGAAGCAUCCGAUGUUAAGCUCAAAACUGGGUCGUAUGGGAAAGCCCUACGAAAGCACGAGAGAGAAUCUAGUAAAGAUGCGGUGAAGCAAUGGAAGGAGGCCCUCAAAGAGGUCGCCGGACUCAAGGGAUGGAACUUGAAAGAUCAUGGCCAGGAUAAACUUAUAGCACUUGUUUUGGAAGAAGUUUUCAAUAAGCUGAGGUAUACACAGAGAUAUUGGCAUGAUGACUUGGUGGGAAUUCAAUAUCAGAUGGAAACCGUUAUCGAGUUGUUAGGCCAAGGAAUUCCCGGUGUACGAUUUGUUGUGAUUCACGGUAUGGGUGGUAUUGGGAAAACAACUCUUGCUAAGGCCAUCUUCAAGCAUAUCUCUUCUCAGUUUCAAUGUUCCAGCUUUCUUUCCGAUAUCCGUGCAGACAAUAUUUUAAGUCUGCAGAAUAAGUUAUUAUGUGACCUUCUCGAUGAUAGGUAUCCCUAUGUUAAUGAUGCUGAUGUGGGGAUGCACAUGAUUAAGGAAAGACUUUGUAAUAAGAAAGUCAUUGUUGUUCUUGAUGAUUUAAACAAGAGGUACAAGCUCAUGAAACUAGCUGGUAAGUCUAGUUGGUUUGGUUCAGGAAGCAGAAUUAUUAUCACAACUAGGAACACCCAUUUUUUGGCUCCUGAAACAGACACCCUAGAUGACAAUAUCAUCCCAGUGCAUUACCGAGAUUUCUUUUUUUAUGAAAUGAAGGAAAUGCAGUUUGACCAUGCUCUUCAACUUUUUAGCAAGCACUCCUUCGAAAGGGAUUCACCUCCACAUGAUUACAACAAUAUUUCAAGUGAAAUUGUCAAAUUUAUUGGAGGACUACCUUUGGCUCUUGAGGUUAUAGGUUCAUCACUCCAUUCAAAAAGCAAGAGAACUUGGAAAGACACAUUGAAGAAGUUGAAGAAAGUGCCCAAUCAAGAUGUCCAUAAAAAGUUGUCGAUAAGUUACGAAGAAUUAGAGUAUGAGCAACAACAAAUUUUUCUCGACAUCGCCUGUCAUUGCAUUGGUGAAGAAAGAAUCCCCGCAUAUUACAUGUGGAAAGCUUGCGAUUUUUUUCCAAAAACUGGACUCGUGUCCUUAUUCAUUUAUCUUUGAUAAAGUUCAUUGAGGAUGAUAGAUUAUGGAUGCACGACCAACUCAGAGAUCUUGGAAGAGAGAUUGUUCGGCAACAAUGCAUUCAAGUUCCUGGAAGGCGUAGUAGGUUGUGGUGUCCUACAAUCGCCUUAGAUGUUGUUCAGAAUAACUUGGUAUGUCUUACUAAAAGUUAUUUGCUUAUGGAAAAACUACACAUGCAGUUAUGUGCAUUAAAGUUCAUUUUCACACAAAAUAUCCGCUCAUUUUUGUACCCAAGACAAUUAUGACAUUGCAUAAUUUGAGAGAUUUCAAAAUAGAUAAUUCUUACCAUUACAACUCCCAUCUAAAUUGGAGAGAUAAGAGUUCAUGGAAUUCGCCCUUUUUGGUACAAAAUAAGAUCUAUGUGCCCCAUUUUUGCUCAUUCACUUAUGUUUUCUAUUGGUUGAAAUAAGAUACAUACUUCCUAUUUUGUUAUCUAGAAUUUACUCUAAAUUGUUCACUCAUAUCGGUAUCUAUUGCUUCAAAUUAUCAGGGAACAAAAAACAUUGUAGCACUCAGACUCCCAAGACUUGCCAACAUGCACAAUUUUACAAGUGAUGAAUUUUCAAGGCUACCUAGUUUGAGGUUCCUCGAAAUAGAUGGGGGAAACUUGGUUGGAGACUUCAAAAAUCUUCUCUCAAAUCUAACAUGGCUCUCUUGGCGUCAUUGCCCUUCAAACCUACAUGCCCAUGGUUUAUGUCUAAGGAACUUGGUUGUUCUCAAGCUUUUAGAGAGCGCCAUUACUGAAGAUUGGAAUGGAUGGGCAUCAUGCAUGGUCAAUGAUAACCUAAAGGUCAUAUAUUUUAGAAAUUGUCAUCGCUUAAUGAGGACACCUAACUUCUCCAAGUGCUUGAAUUUGAAAAGAUUGGUUAUCGAAGAUUGUACAAUGUUAGAAGAAACUGAUAGCUCUAUUGGUCAACUAGGACGCCUAAAGUACAUGGAAAUCAAUAAGGAGGGUUGUAUUUCUAUCAUUCAGCAUUCUGGCGGUGUCAACAAUUUUGUCUCUCCUCUAUUACCAGACUCGAUUGGUGGUUUGAAGUCCUUGUCAAUGUUGAAAGUGGAAAAUAACAAUGAUGUUGGAGCACUUCCACACUCAAUAGGAGAGCUACUAGAUUUGAAACAUCUAUCUCUACAUUGUUGUACAGUGCUUAGUAAGCUUCCGAAUUCAAUUGGAGAGUUGAGAUCGCUUCUCUUUUUGGAUUUAUCUUGUACUCGUAUAAGUACAAUACCGGAUUCUAUUGGAAGACUAGAACAACUACUCAAAAUGGAUCUAUCUCAUACAAAUAUUGCAGAAUUACCUAAUUCUAUUGGCAACCUUAGACGGUUGAAGUUUAUGUGUUUGGAUUGGACGAAGAUAAGAGAGCUACCUAAGAGCAUAUGGACUUUAGAGAAUCUUGAGGAGUUGAUUGCCAAAGGCUGUCGAAAUCUCGAGGGAAAAAUUCCAAGUGAAAUCACGGGACUAUCCAAAUUGACUAUUUUGAACUUGUCCGAGAGCAUGAUUAGUAGAUUGCCAACAACAAUCAAUCGGCUCUCUAAUCUUCGAGAACUUGUUUUAUCAUGUUGUGUUAAGCUACUAUCGUUGCCAAAUCUCCCGACAAGUUUAAGAAAACUAGAGUUGUCCUCUUCAUCACUGCUAGUAAUACCCGACCUCUCAAACCUUACUAAUCUACUUCAUCUGGACAUAAGUGAUCGUGCUUUUGACUUUAAGCUCUUUAAAACUACACAAGGACGAGUUCCAAUUCCGAACUUGGAGUGCCUUGGAAGGCUACAUGAAUUGCAGAUGUUAAGAUUGGUUCUUUCCAAUGCCAACUUGCCUCCGACUGACUUGAGCUCCCUUUCUCAGCUCCGGUCACUUGAAAUAACUUGUCCAGACCCCCGUUCACUGAUUGGGCUCCCGUCCAAUUUAGAAGACUUGAGUUUAGAAGAUGUCGAGACACCAACAAAAUGGCCAUGGUCCUCCAACUUGGGUAAUUUGUCUCAAUUAAAGCUCUUUGGUUGCCGGUUAAGAAAGAUUGAGUUUGACAGUGAACUUGGACAGCUGAAGAGUGUCCAGCAUUUGCAAGUGCGCGAGUGCAUAUGGCUCGUGACACUAUCUAAUCUAUCAAGCUUAAAGGAGCUGCGAGUGCUGAGCGUGGAGUACUGCCCGCACCUAACCGAGAUCGAAUCCCAACCAUCUUCAACUGGAGAUUGUAGUUCCACGGAAAGGCCCAUUCCUGAUGCCCCGAAGCUAGAGAAGCUCCAGUCUUUGAGAGUCUACUACUGCGAAUCAGUGCAAAAGUUGCCUACUAUACCGAAUGCAUGUGAUGUUGAGGUUAGCCCACCGAAAUAUGUAAGAAGGUCUGAAAGUGGGCCCGUCUUCAUAGAGGAUCUCGCUGAUUCCCGAGAAGCUAUGAAUAUGGAGACAUGGACGAGAUUCUCUGAAUCCGAAAUUUUCCAAGAAGAGUUCACUGAAGAAGAUUUAGGCCCAAGAGAUCUCAGCCCGCUGAGGACCUCUCCUGAAAAAGAAAAUUUAGGCCCAAGAGGCCUUAGCCCACUUUCCUUAGCCCAUCUUCUUGUUUCCUUCUGGAGAUGGUUCAUAGGAAAAAUAAAGAGCAUGAAAAGACAGGAGUGAGUCGGCAAAAGAAAGUGAAAACAGAAAAGAGGAAAUUGAGGGUGGGAAGAAAGGGGGUUCCGUUGCAUGCACGCUUUGGAGGUCUCAACAAGCUAGAUUAAUACCGUUUGGAAGCGCUGGUGUUGUAGGUAUGCAUACAUGUUCUUGGGAUGUCCUACAUGGCCAAAGCAACUGGCUGACAAUAGUGGAGACCUACUUCAAGGGGGGAAUCUUGGUAAGCCUUACCACGAGGCGUUAAACGUGGCCAUAGUUUGAUAUUAAGUAUUGGAGUGAUUAAUGGAUCAAACUACUACUGUUUAUUAUUGAUCAAAUGAGUGUUUCUGAUACGUAUUAAACUUUGUUGAAGUGAUAUAAUUCAUAUUUGGACUUUUAUAUAUUUUAUAUAUUGGAUUUGGAUAUGUUUCUAAUAUUGUUUAUAAUUGUGUAUAGUGGAUACUCGAUUUGCUAAGAAGAAUUUUAACUACUCAUUGAGCAGUGAUUUACUUAUAUCAUUCAUCUAAAUUCUUUUUGAGUUGCCAACAAAUAGGAUGAGAGCGAUCAAUAGAAAUGUGGAUUUUGGGUAUAAGUUGAGAUAAUGAUACGUAUCAUUUGUAAUGGUACUUCUUGGAUUUAGUUUG